GCGCUCAUAGCUCAGCUGGAUAGAGCACUUGGCUACGAACUNNNAACUAAGGGGUCGGGAGUUCGAAUCUCUCUGAGCGCACCA
rnacentral:tRNA from 1 species